rnacentral:rRNA from 1 species
UACGUAGGGGGCAAGCGUUAUCCGGAUUCACUGGGCGUAAAGGGAGCGCAGGCGGCACGGCAAGCCUGGUGUGAAAACCCGGGGCCCAACCCCGGGAGUGCAUUGGGAACUGCCGCGCUAGAGUGCCGGAGGGGUAAGCGGAAUUCCUAGUGUAGCGGUGAAAUGCGUAGAUAUUAGGAGGAACACCAGUGGCGAAGGCGGCUUACUGGACGGUGACUGACGCUGAGGCUCGAAAGCGUGGGGAGCAA